rnacentral:rRNA from 1 species
CCUACGGGUUGCAGCAGUGGGGAAUAUUGGACAAUGGGCGAAAGCCUGAUCCGGCAAUGCCGCGUGUGUGAAGAAGGUCUUCGGAUUGUAAAGCACUUUCGACGGGGACGAUGAUGACGGUACCCGUAGAAGAAGCCCCGGCUAACUUCGUGCCAGCAGCCGCGGUAAUACGAAGGGGGCUAGCGUUGCUCGGAAUGACUGGGCGUAAAGGGCGCGUUGGCGGUUUGUUAAGUCAGAUGUGAAAUCCCCGGGCUCAACCUGGGAACUGCAUCUGAUACUGGCAAGCUUGAGUCUCGUAGAGGGGGGUAGAAUUCCAGGUGUAGAGGUGAAAUUCGUAGAUAUUGGGAAGAACACCGGUGGCGAAGGCGGCAACCUGGCUCGAUACUGACGCUGAGGCGCGAAAGCGUGGGGAGCAAACAGGAUUAGAUACCCGGGUAGUC